CGGCGCUCACCUAAGAGGUACCAGAGCUGAGUUCUGGCGAGUUCCAGCUGAAAAAAGCCCUGAUGGAUUGUAUCCUGAAUAUCCUUGCCUUUCUAGAAAUCCUAGAGAAUUUAUCUGGCAGCAAUGUGACCGCUCAGUCCUCUCUACUCUGGAUUUUACUCUCCAUAUUUCACAGAAUGCAAUGAAGCUGAAUGAUUCAGGACAGAUAAGCUUCAAACCCUUUUGUGGUUGCUAAUACCCAGUAAUGAUGAGGCCUCUAUCAAAUGGAAGAGUUGGAACCUGUCUGGAACUGAGUCUCUGGGACUAAAGAUGCCUGUAGCCGUUCAAACAAUGCAACCAUCCCAACAGCAGUGCCCUUCAAGAGCGCGAUCUUGUCUUUCAGUUGUGCUCUUUUGUAUGGCACAUUGUGUGAGUGCUGUUCAGCUUCUAUGACUAGCAGCAGAAUUCGCAGACUUACCUACUCAAAAGUAAGUCCCAUCAUGGAGGUUCCCGGGGCUUACUCCCAAGUAAGUGUAUCUAGGAUCAAGGUCUUAAGGAUGGGAACAUGAAGCCACUGAGACAGCUUAAAAAGUUAAAGAGCGAGGCCAGAGGAACCAUCAUAUUUUCCGUCAAAAUAUUUAGGGGGAAAUGUUGAGUCGCUGAAGCAGAAGCACCCAUUUUGAGAAAGAAGGUUUGGCUCAUGCACAACAAAUGAACAAAAUCCAUGUGUUUAUUGCACAAUGUAACUUAACAUCUGGAAAUGUGGUAAGAAAGAAGGGAAAGUGAUUC